GAUGAACGCUGGCGGCGUGCUUAACACAUGCAAGUCGAACGGAAAGGCCCAAGCUUGCUUGGGUCCUCGAGUGGCGAACGGGUGAGUAACACGUGGGUGAUCUGCCCUGCACUUCGGGAUAAGCCUGGGAAACUGGGUCUAAUACCGGAUAGGACCACAUUUUGGAUGGUGUGGUGGAAAGUUUUUCGGUGUGGGAUGAGCUCGCGGCCUAUCAGCCUGUUGGUGGGGUAAUGGCCUACCAAGGCGUCGACGGGUAGCCGGCCUGAGAGGGUGUACGGCCACAUUGGGACUGAGAUACGGCCCAGACUCCUACGGGAGGCAGCAGUGGGGAAUAUUGCACAAUGGGCGCAAGCCUGAUGCAGCGACGCCGCGUGGGGGAUGACGGCCUUCGGGUUGUAAACUCCUUUCGCUAGGGACGAAGCGUUAUGUGACGGUACCUGGAGAAGAAGCACCGGCUAACUACGUG
rnacentral:rRNA from 1 species